UACAGAGACCUCAAGCGUUGUUCGGAUUCAUUGGGCGUAAAGGGUGCGUAGGCGGCGCGGUAAGUCGGGUGUGAAAUCUCGGAGCUUAACUCCGAAACUGCAUUCGAUACUGCCGUGCUUGAGGACUGGAGAGGAGACUGGAAUUUACGGUGUAGCGGUGAAAUGCGUAGAUAUCGUAAGGAAGACCAGUGGCGAAGGCGGGUCUCUGGACAGUUCCUGACGCUGAGGCACGAAGGUCAGGGGAGCAAACAGG
rnacentral:rRNA from 1 species